rnacentral:misc_RNA from 1 species
GAUGAAGAACGCAGCGAAACGCGAUAAGUAAUGUGAAUUGCAGAAUUCCGUGAAUCAUCGAAUCUUUGAACGCACAUUGCGCCCCCUGGCAUUCCGGGGGGCAUGCCUGUCCGAGCGUCAUUUCUGCCCUCAAGCACGGCUUGUGUGUUGGGUGUGGUCCCCCCGGGGACCUGCCCGAAAGGCAGCGGCGACGUCCGUCUGGUCCUCGAGCGUAUGGGGCUCUGUCACUCGCUCGGGAAGGACCUGCGGGGGUUGGUCACCACCAUGUUUUACCACGGUUGACCUCGGAUCAGGUAGGAGUUACCCGCUGAACUUAAGCAUAUCAAUAAGCGGAGGA